AUUGUAGUCUGGAGACGCGUCCUCAGCGACGGACCGGGCCCAAGUCCCCUGGAAAGGGGCGCCUGGGAGGGUGAGAGCCCCGUCCGGCCCGGACCCUGUCGCCCCCCGAGGCGCGGUCAACGAGUCGGGUUGUUUGGGAAUGCAGCCCAAAUCGGGCGGUAGACUCCGUCCAAGGCUAAAUACAGGCGAGAGACCGAUAGCGAACAAGUACCGCGAGGGAAAGAUGAAAAGGACUUUGAAAAGAGAGUCAA
rnacentral:ncRNA from 1 species